GCUUCUCAGGAGAUUGUGCCAGUAGACUCAUACUUCUGUUUUUGCAAAGAUGAAGAUUAGUACAAGAAUUACAAAGAAGAUAAAGAACUGGCAACAGAGGAAGUAACAGAUUGUGCUAAAAGGAACAGAUUGUGCUAAAAGGAAUCCCCUGGUUUGGGGACUGAUCUUAUUUACUAAUUUGCACUUAUAUAAGGUCAUUAGAAGCAUGGUAAUGGAAUUUGCUGAUGACAGAAAAUGACUAAACAAUGCUGAGGCAGAAAAGGAACAGAGGAACUAAAUAUUAUAUGGGAAGAACUGGAUGACCUUUAAGACCAAACUAA